GUGGAUUAGAUACCCUAGUAGUCCACGCCGUAAACGAUGGAUACUAGCUGUUGGGGGCAACUUCAGUGGCUAAGCGAAAGUGAUAAGUAUCCCACCUGGGGAGUACGUUCGCAAGAAUGAAACUCAAAGGAAUUGACGGGGGCCCGCACAAGCGGUGGAGCAUGUGGUUUAAUUCGAUGAUACGCGAGGAACCUUACCAAGGCUUAAAUGUAGAUUGACCGAUUUGGAAACAGAUCUUUCGCAAGACAAUUUACAAGGUGCUGCACGGUCGUCGUCAACU
rnacentral:rRNA from 1 species